rnacentral:rRNA from 1 species
GGACAGGUAAGCGAAAUCUAAGGAAAGUAGCGAAGCACAUGAUGACGGCUUCCAGGAAAAGCUUCUGGCAAUGCAUAUGCGGCCCGUACCAAAACCGACACAGGUGGGCAGGGAGAGAAUCCCGAGGUGAGCGAGAGAACUGUUGCCAAGGAACUCGGCAAAAUGACUCCGUAAGUUAGCGAGAAGGAGUGCUUAAGCAAUUAAGCCGCAGUGAAGAGGCCCAAGCGACUGUUUAACUAAAACACAGCUCUCUGCGAAGUCGCAAGACGAAGUAUAGGGGGUGACACCUGCCCGGUGCUGGAAGGUUAAGAGGAUCUGUUAAGAGCGAUCUGAAGCAGUGAUCCGAAGCCCCAGUGAACGGCGGCCGUAACGAUAACGGUCCUAAGGUAGCGAAAUUCCUUGUCAGGUAAGAUCUGACCCGCACGAAAGGUGUAACGAUUUGGGCGCUGUCUCGGCAGCAGACUCGGUGAAAUCUUAGUACCUGUGAAAAUGCAGGUUACCCGCAACUAGACGGAAAGACCCCAUGGAGCUUUACUGCAGCCUGAUAUUGAAUUCUGGUCAUACAUGUACAGGAUAGGUGGGAGACAAAGAGACGUGCACGCCAGAGUACGAGGAGUCGACGUUGGGAUACCACUCUUGUGUGACCGGGGUUCUAACCUGGUAUCGAGAACAGGUACGGGGAGAGUGUCAGGUGGGCAGUUUGACUGGGGCGGUCGCCUCCCAAAGAGUAACGGAGGCGCCCAAAGGUACGCUCAGAUUGGAUGGAAACCAAUCGACGAGUGCAAUUGCAGAAGCGUGCUUGACUGUGAGACAAACAAGUCGAACAGGGACGAAAGUCGGGAAUAGUGAUCCGGCGGUGCCGAAUGGAAGGGCCGUCGCUCAACGGAUAAAAGCUACCCUGGGGAUAACAGGCUGAUCUCGCCCAAGAGUUCACAUCGACGGCGAGGUUUGGCACCUCGAUGUCGGCUCAUCGCAUCCUGGAGCUGGAUUCGGUUCCAAGGGUUGGGCUGUCCGCCCAUUAAAGCGGUACGCGAGCUGGGUUCAGAACGUCGUGAGACAGUUCGGUCCCUAUCUGUUGUGGGCGAAGGAGAUCUGCGGAGAGCUGUCCUCAGUACGAGAGGACCGGGAUGGACCUACCGCUGGUGCACCGGUUGUUCCGCCAGGGGCAUAGCCGGGUAGCUAAGUAGGGAAAGGAUAAGCGCUGAAAGCAUCUAAGCACGAAGCCUACUCCAAGAUGAGAUCUCCCAUUCGCAAGAAGUAAGACCCCUUAAAGACGAUAAGGUAGAUAGGCCAGGGAUGGAAGUGCAGUGAUGUACGGAGUUGACUGGUACUAAUCGGUCGAGGACUUAAUU